GGGUCCUUUAUACUCCGUCUUUUGUCCAACAUAAGGCCUCAUACUCAGCAAUCGAAAAGACUCCGAACCGGUGACUAGGAGGGCAUUCAUACGACCAACCCUAUACAAAGUCUAAGAAAAUUUAC